CGCAUCUGUGCAUGCAGCAUAUCAAUAAGCGGAGGAAAAGAAACUAACAAGGAUUCCCUCAGUAACGGCGAGUGAAGCGGGAAGAGCUCAAAUUUGAAAUCUUCAAGGUCUACCUUGCACGAAUUGUAGUUUAAAGAAGUGUUUUCUGCUGACGAUCUGGUAAUAUAAGUUCUUUGGAAUAGGACAUCACAGAGGGUGAGAAUCCCGUCUAUGAUUGCAUAUUUUCAGCUUUGUGAUACACUUUCAAAGAGUCGGGUUGUUUGGGAAUGCAGCCCAAAACGGGAGGUAAAUUUCUUCUAAGGCUAAAUAUUGGCGAGAGACCGAUAGCGAACAAGUACCGUGAGGGAAAGAUGAAAAGAACUUUGAAAAGAGAGUUAAAUAGUACGUGAAAUUGUCAAAAGGGAAGCGUUUAACACCAGUGAUUGUUUUCUGAAAAUCAACCUCUGUUAGCUUUAUGCAUGUUUGUUUAGACCUAAUCAGCUAUCUUGCAUGUUCUAUUGUUUGCAGUGGUGCACUUUUCAGUUUACAGGUCAACAUCAGCUUUUUUUUACCGUAAAAAAGUUAAAGAAAGGUAGCUCAUGGCUCCGGUCGUGAGUGUUAUAGUCUUUUUCCUAUGCGGUAGGAGAGACUGAGGUCUGCAGUGUAGGCUAUUUGGCUAGAUACUCAGGUGCUAUGUGAUACCAUUUCAUAAACAACUUGUUGAUUAUGUUUUGUCUAUUGCAUACUCGCUUGUACUAUCAUACCUACGCUUAGGAUGUUGACGAUCAGCUGAGCGCG
rnacentral:rRNA from 1 species